UUGACCUCAAAUCGGGUGAGACUACCCGCUGAACUUAAGCAUAUCAAUAAGCGGAGGAAAAGAAACUAACGAGGAUUCCCCUAGUAACUGCGAGUGAAGCGGGAAAAGCUCAAAUUUAAAAUCUGGUGGUCUUUGGCCAUCCGAGUUGUAAUUUAGAGAAGCGUCUUCCGCGCUGGACCGUGCACAAGUCUCCUGGAAUGGAGCGUCAUAGAGGGUGAGAAUCCCGUCUUUGGCACGGACCCCAGGGCUUCUGUGAUGCGCUCUCGAAGAGUCGAGUUGUUUGGGAAUGCAGCUCAAAAUGGGUGGUGAACUCCAUCUAAAGCUAAAUAUUGGCGAGAGACCGAUAGCGAACAAGUACCGUGAGGGAAAGAUGAAAAGCACUUUGGAAAGAGAGUGAAACAGUACGUGAAAUUGUUGAAAGGGAAACGCUUGAAGUCAGUCGCGUCGACCGAGACUCAACCUCGCCUCGGCUUGGUGUACUUCUCGGCCGACGGGUCAGCAUCAAUCUCGAUCCUCGGAUAAUGGCGAGGGAAAGGUGGCACCCUUGCGGGUGUGUUAUAGUCCCCUGUCGCAUGCGAGGGUCAGGAUUGAGGAACUCAGCGCGCGCCUCUCGGUGUCGGAGCGUUUCACGCUCAC
rnacentral:rRNA from 1 species